AACGAACGCUGGCGGCAGGCCUAACACAUGCAAGUCGAACGGGUGUAGCAAUACAUCAGUGGCAGACGGGUGAGUAACGCGUGGGAAUCUCCCCAGAGGUACGGAACAACUCAGGGAAACUUGAGCUAAUACCGUAUGUGCCCGAGAGGGCAGAGAUUUAUCGCCUUUGGAUGAGCCCGCGUUGGAUUAGCUUGUUGGUGGGGUAAUGGCCUACCAAGGCUACGAUCCAUAGCUGAUCUGAGAGGAUGAUCAGCCACACUGGGACUGAGACACGGCCCAGACUCCUACGGGAGGCAGCAGUGGGGAAUCUUGGACAAUGGGCGCAAGCCUGAUCCAGCCAUGCCGCGUGAGUGAAGAAGGCCCUAGGGUUGUAAAGCUCUUUUACCCGGGAAGAUAAUGACGGUACCGGGAGAAUAAGCCCCGGCAAACUUCGUGCCAGCAGCCGCGGUAAAAC
rnacentral:rRNA from 1 species